rnacentral:tRNA from 1 species
CCUCAAAUGGCUGAUUAAAGCAUUAGUCUCUUAAACUAAAUUAUGGGCAAUCCUUUGGGG